UACGAACUGUGCGAACGUUAUUCGGAAUCACUGGGCUUACAGGGUGCGUAGGCGGCUCACCAAGUCAGGUGUGAAAGCCCCCGGCUCAACCGGGGAACUGCGCUUGAAACUGUUAGGCUCGAGUCAGCUAGAGGUACACGGAACUUCCAGUGGAGCGGUGAAAUGUGUUGAUAUUGGAAGGAACACCGGAGGCGAAAGCGGUGUACUGGGGCUGGCCUGACGCUGAGGCACGAAAGCCAGGGGAGCGAACGGG
rnacentral:rRNA from 1 species